UACGUAGGGUGCAAGCGUUGUCCGGAAUUAUUGGGCGUAAAGAGCUCGUAGGCGGUUUGUCACGUCGGAUGUGAAAACCCGGGGCUUAACCCCGGGCCUGCAUUCGAUACGGGCUGACUAGAGUUCGGCAGGGGAGACUGGAAUUCCUGGUGUAGCGGUGAAAUGCGCAGAUAUCAGGAGGAACACCGGUGGCGAAGGCGGGUCUCUGGGCCGAUACUGACGCUGAGGGACGAAAGCGUGGGGAGCGAACCGG
rnacentral:rRNA from 1 species